UGCAAUUAAUGAUGAUUUUUCCAUAAUUGCUGAUUGAACAAUGAUUAAUACAAAAAUAUCACCAUCUUUCAGCUGAGAUUGCA
rnacentral:snoRNA from 1 species